GUAAUAGUAUUACUUUUGCGUAGGUAUUUGGAAAAAUUGACAAACGCAUAUAUGCGUCCUUAAUCCAUGCCGGGCACUUACAGAAAACGCAUAUAUGUGUCCUUAGUCCACACCGAUAGCUUUCACCAGACGCAUAUACGCGCCCAUAGCACUCUAAGGGUUUACUAACUGAAUAAAAAAAUAAUAAUAUAAAAUACUUUUCGCAUUAUCACAGUUGAAAGAGAUAUUUUCGUAGCCUUAUUCGGAUGGAUCACAUGGCAGAUUACUACACACAUACGUUUCUUUCUCGCUGUACCUUUUAUAUUUCCACAUAUCAUAUGCAAUCUGUACACUAUUACACCUUCGGCAUAGAUUGACAUGUUCUAUAGUUUAACGAAGAUAAGCGUUUCAAUGAAAUCUGGAACUUCGGAGCAAAAGAUAUUUACAGUGGCUACAAGAAAUAUCGAUACAUCACUGUAUUUAUUAGGUAUAUUAAAUUUCGAAUAACUUAAUAAUACUUUCAUAAGGUUACGAAAUGUAAUUCUAUGAAAAUGAAAGACUACGUACCAUUUAACCACUGUAGUUUAGUCUGUUACUUAAAAGCACGUAAAAAAAUGUUUGAGUCUUAAAUUUGUUGACUAUCGUAGAACGCAUUUUGUGUUAGCUUAACAACUACGUAUAGGAGAACAAAAUAUUUUGUUACACAGUUGUUCGUGAUACAGUUUGGACGAGAUAUCUUGCAAAGCAAUAUCGUUCAUGUGACGCUUUGGACGUGAUAUGUAUGUUACAUGUUUUUUUCAUUAGAAAAAGAGAUCUCGCGCAGCGAUUGCAUAAAAAUCAAUUCGUAAGACACUGCAUAUUUGUGAAUAUAAAAGAGAUUAAAGAUGCUAAACGGGGAAAAUGUUCUGUUUCUAUGAGCAAAUGAUCUUAUUUCUUUGUCGUAUGAAAUAAUUCGAAGAACGGUACUAUACAUAAUGGUACGUUACAAUCGUUACAAAAAUACCUCGUUUGUUUACGUAACUUAUUCUCCUUACAAAGUACGCAGCGUUUUAUAGCAUUUCUUUUCCAUAGGAGGUACUUUUUUAGGGAAACAUCGAGAUUUAAUGCAAAGGGGGAACUUUUCCUGAGAUCUCUUUGUUUCGCGAUGAAAAUUUUCAGCUGGUGUAAAAUACUUCUCUAAUAAUCCAGAAAUAAUGUCUUCUUUUAUCUCGCGAAAAGCUUUUCUAUCUUGGUGACAGGAGUUCCAUAUUACGAGACAAUUAAAUAUCGUUAUGUUGAGCAAAUGUAGAAAAUACUUCUUGUACUAUUUUAUAGAUUUACUUAUGGUCAAAUCCCUCUGUAAAAUUUGAUAGAUUUGAUUUGCUCCACUCAUGUAUGUAUUAUAAUUUAGAACGACAUUGGAUUUUUUCGGUAUUGUCCUGUAAUGUAAUUACAGAAAGACAGAUUCACAGAAUAACAUCGUGCGAACAAUAUUGUGUCGCCAUACGUAUCUCUUUUGUGUUCCAAAGCGGUUAACAACAUUUGAGGCUGAGAUAUUUCGUUGAAAGCAUCCCAUAAAUGACACUGUAUCGUGAGGUAUUUCGUAUAAAGCGUUGUACGAACGACAUUGCGUUGCAAAAUAUUUCGUUCUUAAAUACGAAGGGAUUAAAAACGUAAACAUAACGAAUGGAAUAUUGAAACGACGAAAAUAACAGAAACUGUUUACUUGAGAGUGUAAAUUCUGAUGAAUUUGCUUUCUCCUUGUUUAUCUCGUCGAUUUUAAUUUAAAUGUAAUUAUCUAAUUAUUAUUAAUACCUUGUACAGAAAUUAUUGUACUUUUUAAUAAUAUAAGAAAUGAAUUUUCAUUUGCAUAUGUGAAGCAUCGAGUAUUUAGAAUAAGAAAGAACUCGGAAGAAUACAAGUCGUACUGAACUUUUGGGAGACUAUUUGUUGAGAAAUGCUAAGUUGGUAUGAUCGCUAGUUCCUAUAAGUUAAAUUGCUACGACUUCUAACGACUCUCCUUUGUCUUAGAAGUCGACCACGUGUUAAUUAUCUAACUGUAUCCGGUGUAUUUAGACGUUUUGUACGUGGUGGUGAAAUAUAAAAGUAAUAUUCAA